UGGGGAAUUUUGGACAAUGGACGCAAGUCUGAUCCAGCCAUGCCGCGUGCGGGAAGAAGGCCUUCGGGUUGUAAACCGCUUUUGUCAGGGAAGAAACGCUCUGGGCUAAUACCCUGGGGUAAUGACGAUACCUGAAGAAUAAGCACCGGCUAACUACGUGCCAGCAGCCGUGGUAAUACGAAGGGUGCAAGCGUUAAUCGGAAUUACUGGGCGUAAAGCGUGCGCAGGCGGUUAUGCAAGACAGGGGUGAAAUCCCCGGGCUCAACCUGGGAACUGCCUUUGUGACUGCAUAGCUAGAGUACGGUAGAGGGGGAAGGAAUUCCGCGUGUAGCAGUGAAAUGCGUAGAUAUGCGGAGGAACACCGAUGGCGAAGGCAAUCCCCUGGACCUGUACUGACGCUCAUGCACGAAAGCGUGGGGAGCAAACA
rnacentral:rRNA from 1 species